UACGUAGGCAGCGAGCGUUGUUCGGAUUUACUGGGCGUAAAGGGUGUGUAGGCGGUUGUUUAAGUUUGGUGUGAAAUCUCCCGGCUCAACUGGGAGGGUGCGCCGAAUACUGAAUGACUUGGAGUGCGGGAGAGGAAAGUGGAAUUCCUGGUGUAGCGGUGAAAUGCGUAGAUAUCAGGAGGAACACCGGUGGUGUAGACGGCUUUCUGGACCGUAACUGACGCUGAGACACGAAAGCGUGGGUAGCAAACAGG
rnacentral:rRNA from 1 species